rnacentral:rRNA from 1 species
GACGAACGCUGGCGGCGUGCUUAACACAUGCAAGUCGAACGAAGAGCGAUGGAGGCCUGCUUCUAUCAAUCUUAGUGGCGAAGGGGUGAGUAACGCGUAUCAACCUGUCCUUUUGAGGGGGACAACAGGUGGAAACGACUGCUCUUACCGCAUACGAGCUCAUCGCGGCAUCGAGGAUAGACGAAAGGUGGCCUCUACAUGUAAGCUACGAUUGCGGGUGGGGAAUGCGGCGGAUUAGCUAGUUGGAGGGGCUACGGCCCACCCAGGCGAUGAGCAGUAGACGGGCUGAGAAGAUUGACGGCCCAAUUGGGACUGGGACACGGCCCAGACUCCUUCGGGGAGGAGCAAGGGGGCAACUUCCGCCAUGGACGGAAGUCUGACGGAGCAACGCCGCGUGAGGGAUGACGGGCUUCGGGUUGGAAAGCUCUGUUUAUCGGGACGAAAGGCCUUCUUGCGAAUAGUGAGAAGGAUUGACGGUACCGGAAUAAAAAGCAACGGCUAACUACGUG